CCAAGGCUUGCCCUGCCGGAGAACUCAUCUGGGCUCGGAUUGGGUUACAGUGUCCACCCCGCUGCCCAAUUGUAACGCGUCGCCUUGAGCCUUUAAAACUCCUCCUACAGACAAGCGCUGUUCUUCUCAUGUUGAUUAGGUUCAAUGGUAUGGCAUCGUGAAGUGAUUGGUCAAUCCAGCCUGACAGGCGGAGGAAGUUACAACCUGGUGAAGAGGAGUGAAAAAGAAAUGGUAAGAGUGUCUGUUGAGCGUCACCUUCCGUUUCCGGUAUAUGCUUAAAGGGUUGUGAUCGAUACUUCACCGGCUUUGCACUGGCCAAGCACAAGGACGGGGAACAGCGAGGGAAUCCAUCUUCUCGAACUGUGCCUGUCCUGAUAGACAUAGCCCCUUCGCUCCAGGAAGAAUAGUGUCCUCUUGCCUCCAUUUCUGCUGAGCUGUGGCAGAGGAUGCAGCAAAUGGCAAAAGUUCUCCAUCAGUCUGAAGAGGAUGAACUUUAAUCUGGCCCAGUGGUUCACAAACUGGGAGCCUCCAGAUGUUGCUGAACUACAACUCCCAUCAACCCCAGCCAUAAUUUAUUGUGCCUGGGGAUGAUGGGAGCUGUAGCUCAACAACAUCUGGAGGCUCUCAGUUUGGGAACCACCGAUCUGGCCCUUUCCCUCCAAGAAGAACUGUGUUCUCUGCAACCAUUUCCCAUAAGCUGUUAUAGAGGAUGCUGAAUGGAAAUUGAGGAAUUUGGUUCAACAUGUCCUUGCAUCAUCUCCUGGCUUUGGCAGCAUAUCUCUGUGUGAACAAACAUCCCUGCUGUUGAACAAAAGACCGUCAAAGCCUGUGUGGUGACCAUCUCCAAGAUUAAGAAUUCCUACCAUUCCUGUGAUGUAGUCUUCAUGAGUUGAACAUAGUCUGCAAGUCGCAGCUGUUCUGAGUAAAAGGUUAUCGUCAAGCUGUCUACGUACAUAGAAUAGAAGGUGAAAUGAGACGGAAGUCUUCCUCUUCCGCAACUGAAGGCCAUGUGCCGCAAUUUUACUGGUCAGGAACAAUGUUGGAUAUUUAAGAUGUCUGCAGAUGUUGCCUUUCCCCUGUUUUGAAAAUCCAGCAUAUGAGUCAGGGGAGGAAUUGCAAUACCUGUCCUUGUAAAUCUCUUAAACCUGAACUAUUAAAAGCACGUACAAAAACCCCA